AACGAACGUUGGCGGCAUGGAUUAGGCAUGCAAGUCGAACGAAUCCCAGGGUAGCAAUACCUUGGGGGAAGUGGCGAAAGGGGCAGUAAUACCUGGAUAACCUACCCUGGGGAUGGGCAUAGCCGUUCUAACGAGCGGGUAAUACCCAGCGAUUCGGCGAGUUGGCAUCAAUUUGCCGGGAAAUGAAUUUCGCCUCGGGAGGGGUCCAGGAGAUAUCAGCUAGUUGGCGGGGUAACGGCCCACCAAGGCUUAGACGUCUAGCGGGUGUGAGAGCACGACCCGCGCCACUGGCACUGAGACACUGGCCAGACACCUACGGGUGGCUGCAGUCGAGGAUCUUCGUCAAUGGGCGCAAGCCUGAACGAGCGAUGCCGCGUGAGCGAUG
rnacentral:rRNA from 1 species